GCUGAGCAGUUGAUGAACACAUCAGGGCAAAGAAUGAGAAGAAGAUUAAUUUCAUUGAGUUAUAUUGGUGCAAUGAAAUCAAAAAAUCUCAAUAUGAGGCGGAUCUAUUUCUGCCCCAUUGCCCUACAGCUCCACCAUUGCAAAGUACCAGUGACCGGACAUGGCCGGGCCACCCCGCAUUCUGGAUAGCACAGGCUGGAGCAAGUCAUCUUUCUGGGAUGGAGGUAAUAGGAAAUAUGUUUCCCAUGAAUCCACCAGUGCCUGCACCUAAAUAACUACACAAGAUAAUUAUGGAAGAACACCCUGAUCCCUCAUACAAAAUCACAUGAGUAAAAGCAAGAUUCAGUCUUCAAUGAAAAUAGCCCCUACUGUCACAUCUCUAGAGGUCGAAAGCAAUUGAGUGUAAUUGGACUUACCGAGUUCACCGAGGAGAUGAAGUCCGGAGAA